AUAAGCUUCUCACUCUAAACUCCU
rnacentral:miRNA from 1 species